AGACGUGUAUCCGAGUGGUCAAAGGAGUAAGAUUCAGGGUCUUAUGCAUCAGUUGCUACGUGGGUUCGAAUCCCACCGCGUCUA
rnacentral:tRNA from 1 species